AAAUAGAAAGCUACUAUACCACCGCAAAUCAAUGAAUAGAAAAUAUUUCUCCCAGUUUGCAAAUCCACGAUUUUCUACUUGGUGAUGGCCAACGUCAUCUCCCUCAUCGGAUCCUCAUCCACAAAUUUCAAUAACCCUCCUCUAAUUACUAAUUAAACCAACUACCCUCUGUGAAACUCGAUCGUGGAAAUUAUCUGUUGUGGAAAACUCUACCCUUCCCAUUCUAAAGAGUUAUAAACUCAAAGGUCAUUUAGUAGAAGAAAAUCCUUGUCCUCUGAAAUUUAUCAUAAACCCAACUGGUGAAUCACAAUCCGAAAUUGAAGGUGCUGUUGAAGCUACUGGUGGAACAUCGUCAAGCUCCACUAUAACAAAAACGGUCAAUCCAAAAUUUGAUCAAUGGAUUACCUAUGAUCUACUACUUUUGGGCUAGAUUUACAACUCAAUGACGACUCUUCAACUGAUGGUGUUCAACACUACAAAGGACCUAUGGGAAACCAUACAAGACUUAUUAUUUGGAAUGCAAUCAAGGGCAGAGAAAGACUUUUUUCGACAUACAUUUCAUACUACCAGAAAAGGUAAUUCUAAGAUGGAAGAUUACUUAUGAAUUAUGAAAACUAACGUGGAUAACCUUGGCCAAGCCGAGAGCCCUAUUCCUCUUUGUUCCUUAAUCUCUCAGGUCUUAUUGGGGUUGGAUGAAGUCUACAACCUAGUAAUCGCCAUUAUUCAAGGAAAACUCAAUAUCUCUUUGUUAGAUAUGCAGUCUGAAUUACUACUAUUUAAGAAAUGUCUUGAGCACCAGAACUCUAAAAAAUCAGGUAAUAUUGUUCAAAACGCCACUGUGAAUAUGGUUUAAAACCAUGCCCAAUAAUGAUGCUCAACGAUCUAGGAACUCAUAUUCGCACAAUAGUAAUUGAUCAAAUGGUAAUGGUCAACGUGGUUGUAAUAGCUUCAAUAACAGUGAAAAUCAUGGUCGUGGUCGAGGAAGAAGAAAUAAACCAACGGGUCAAGUAUAUGGAAAAUAUGGGCAUCUUACACUAGUAUGUUAUAACAUAUUUAAUAAGGUGUUUAUUGGGAACUAGAGCAUAAGGCACAAUAAUAAUACUCUAGGCAACUCAAACCCCGCUGCCUUUGUCACCUCUUAUAAUGCAAACCCUUUUGCUAGGUCGAAAUCUGUUAUUGAUUCUAACUGUUAUGUUGAAAGUGGGGCAAGAAACCAUAUGACAGCCGACUACUCGAACCUGUCAAAUCCUUCAAAGUACUCAGGUACAGUUGGAUUUAUCCACUCAAAUAAAAAAGUGUAGCUCUUGAAGCAUUCAAACAUUUUGUUACCUAUUUGCAAACACAGUUCACUAAAACAAUCAAAGCCUUUCAAUCUGAUAAUGGUGGCAAAUUCAUCAAGAUUCGUCGUAUUCGCAAUGAAAUGGGGAUUGUCCCUAUACAUCUGCCUGAAAUGGCCAUGUUGAAAAAAAGCAUCGACACACUAUAGAAACCAACCUCACUUUAUUGGCUUGAGCCACCCUACCCCUUAGUUUUUGGUGGGAUGCUUUUCUCACAACUACUAUGUUUGAUUAAUGGAUUACCUAUGCAAGCUAAGUCUUAAAAGAGUGAAGACCGUAUUCAAUGGUAGAUGGAUUAAGUCCUCCCGAUAUCAACUAUCGCGUCCUUGAUGUAUGUGUUCCAGUUUCAUCAUCGUUUCAAGAAUUUAUAAACUGCAUCCAACGUAGACUUUGUCCAAAUUCACAACGUCGGAGGACUCGUGUGUCAUGUUGUCUGCAUUUUCGGAUGCAUUGAUCUGAAACAACCCAGGUAUAUAUACGGCUGAAAAAGCAGAUGAUGAAGGUCGAUUUAAUACAAACGAACGAAUGCCGUGAAAAGCGAUCUUAAGUGGAGAGCGAUCUUAAAAGGGCUGGUGGAAAGCAAUCCUAAAAUUCACCGCAACAUGAGAGAAUAGAGAUGGCUGCACAUAUCUUAGUGACGAUGGAAAGCGUUUCAAAAAGGAAGGGAGAAAGCGAUCUUAUAUUUCGAAGGAAAAGAGAAGGUUCAAAAAGAUUCUAGGAUUUUCUUGGAAAAGUGAAGUGGUUACAUGCAGAAGAUGUAAUGUUUUCUAGAAGAUGGUUUAUUUUUUGGGGGGAAAAUUAAAAUAUUCAAGAAUGCGCAUAGUUUGUAUUAAUU